GGGUGAUUAGCUCAGCUGGGAGAGCACCUCCCUUACAAGGAGGGGGUCGGUGGUUCGAUCCCGUCAUCACCCACCA
rnacentral:tRNA from 7 species